rnacentral:lncRNA from 1 species
GCCUGCCUGUGUAUGGUGGCCUGCAACCAGCAGCGUGGGAUUCCAGAAUGUCCUGAGGCCUAAUCCUCUGCUGCUCUCUUCUCUCCGCUUCCGGACACACUGCUGUAGCUAAGUGUCCGACCCCUAGCGUUCAGCGAGCAUUUCUUGGAUUGGUAAACGCACAGACUGGAACGAGGAUGACCUCGGAGGUUCUCAUUCUGAGCACUGGGGAAUUCUGCACCCCCCA